GUCGAUAUGUACUUAUGGUUAUGGAGAUAGACUCGAAAUCUGUUGGUCUUUGCUCGUGCAGUUUCAAACCCUGCUGUCGACU
rnacentral:tRNA from 1 species